GAUGAACGUUGGCGGCGUGCUUAACACAUGCAAGUCGAACGAACCUUCGGGUUAGUGGCGGACGGGUGAGUAACGCGUGAGAAUCUGCCCUCAGGAGGGGGAUAACGGUUGGAAACGACCGCUAAUACCCCAUAUGCCGAUAGGUGAAAUGAAUUUCGCCUGAGGAUGAGCUCGCGUCUGAUUAGCUUGUUGGUGAGGUAAUGGCUCACCAAGGCUUCGAUCAGUAGCUGGUCUGAGAGGAUGAUCAGCCACACUGGGACUGAGACACGGCCCAGACUCCUACGGGAGGCAGCAGUGGGGAAUUUUCCGCAAUGGGCGAAAGCCUGACGGAGCAACGCCGCGUGAGGGACGAAGGCCUCUGGGCUGUAAACCUCUUUUCUCAAGGAAGAAGAUAUGACGGUACUUGAGGAAUAAGCCACGGCUAAUUCCGUGCCAGCAGCCGCGGUAAUACGGGAGUGGCAAGCGUUAUCCGGAAUUAUUGGGCGUAAAGCGUCCGCAGGCGGCCUUUCAAGUCUGCUGUUAAAGCGUGGAGCUUAACUCCAUUAUGGCAGUGGAAACUGAUCGGCUUGAGUAUGGUAGGGGCAGAGGGAAUUCCCGGUGUAGCGGUGAAAUGCGUAGAUAUCGGGAAGAACACCAGUGGCGAAGGCGCCCUGCUGGGCCAUUACUGACGCUCAUGGACGAAAGCCAGGGGAGCGAAAGGGAUUAGAUACCCCUGUAGUCCUGGCCGUAAACGAUGAACACUAGGUGUCGGGGGAAUCGACCCCUUCGGUGUCGUAGCUAACGCGUUAAGUGUUCCGCCUGGGGAGUACGCACGCAAGUGUGAAACUCAAAGGAAUUGACGGGGGCCCGCACAAGCGGUGGAGUAUGUGGUUUAAUUCGAUGCAACGCGAAGAACCUUACCAGGGUUUGACAUCCUGAGAACCUCUUAGAAAUUUGAGGGUGCCUUCGGGAAUUCAGUGACAGGUGGUGCAUGGCUGUCGUCAGCUCGUGUCGUGAGAUGUUGGGUUAAGUCCCGCAACGAGCGCAACCCACGUUUUUAGUUGCCAGCAUUUAGUUGGGCACUCUAGAAAGACCGCCGGUGAUAAACCGGAGGAAGGUGUGGAUGACGUCAAGUCAUCAUGCCCCUUACACCCUGGGCUACACACGUACUACAAUGCUACGGACAAAGGGCAGCAAACUCGCGAGAGCUAGCAAAUCCCAUAAACCGUGGCUCAGUUCAGAUCGUAGGCUGCAACUCGCCUACGUGAAGUAGGAAUCGCUAGUAAUCGCAGGUCAGCAUACUGCGGUGAAUACGUUCCCGGGCCUUGUACACACCGCCCGUCACACCAUGGAAGUUGGCCAUGCCCGAAGUCGUUACUCCAACCCUUGUGGAGGAGGACGCCGAAGGUGGGGCUAAUGACUGGGGUGAAGUCGUAACAAGGUAGCCGUACCGGAAGGUGCGGCUGGAUCACCUCCU
rnacentral:rRNA from 1 species